GCAAUCGACGGGCCAGGAGCUGCGGUAAUAGUGAGGGUUCGGGCGUUGUCCGGAAUUAGUGGGGGUAAAGGGCUCGUAGGGGGUUGGUCACGUCGGGAGUGAAAACUCGGGGCGCAACCCCGAGCCUGCUUCCGAUACGGGCAGACUAGAGGUAUGCAGGGGAGAACGGAAUUCCUGGUGUAGCGGUGAAAUGCGCAGAUAUCAGGAGGAACACCGGUGGCGAAGGCGGUUCUCUGGGCAUUACCUGACGCUGAGGAGCGAAAGUGUGGGGAGCGAACAGGAUUAGAUACCCUUGUAGUC
rnacentral:rRNA from 1 species